rnacentral:rRNA from 1 species
ACCAGACUCCUACGGGAGGCAGCAGUGGGGGAUAUUGCACAAUGGGGGGAACCCUGAUGCAGCGACGCCGCGUGGGUGAAGAAGCGCCUCGGCGCGUAAAGCCCUGUCAGCAGGGAAGAAAAUGACGGUACCUGAAGAAGAAGCCCCGGCUAACUACGUGCCAGCAGCCGCGGUAAUACGUAGGGGGCAAGCGUUAUCCGGAUUUACUGGGUGUAAAGGGGGCGCAGACGGCGAUGCAAGCCAGGAGUGAAAGCCCGGGGCCCAACCCCGGGACUGCUCUUGGAACUGCGUGGCUGGAGUGCAGGAGGGGCAGGCGGAAUUCCUGGUGUAGCGGUGAAAUGCGUAGAUAUCAGGAGGAACACCGGCGGCGAAGGCGGCCUGCUGGACCGUGACUGACGUUGAGGCUCGAGAGCGUGGGGAGCAAACAGGAUUAGAUACCCCGGUA